AGGGCACCACCAGGAGUGGAGCCUGCGGCUUAAUUUGACUCAACACGGGAAAACUCACCCGGCCCGGACACUGGAAGGAUUGACAGAUUGAGAGCUCUUUCUUGAUUCAGUGGGUGGUGGUGCAUGGCCGUUCUUAGUUGGUGGAGUGAUUUGUCUGGUUAAUUCCGAUAACGAACGAGACUCUAGCCUACUAAAUAGAUCGUCGGCUUACAAACGCCGGCGAGACUUCUUAGAGGGACAGGCGGUGAUUCAACCGCACGAAACAGAGCAAUAACAGGUCUGUGAUGCCCCUAGAUGUCCGGGGCCGCACGCGCGCUACACUGAAGUGAUCAGCGUGCUUUUUCAACCUACUCUGUCAAGAGUGGGGAACCCAAUGAACCUUCUUCGUGAUUGGGAUAGGGGAUUGUAAUUAUUCCCCUUGAACGAGGAAUUCCCAGUAAGCGCGAGUCAUAAGCUCGCGUUGAUUACGUCCCUGCCCUUUGUACACACCGCCCGUCGCUACUACCGAUUGAAUGUUUU
rnacentral:rRNA from 1 species